GGGGAAUAUUGCACAAUGGGCGCAAGCCUGAUGCAGCAACGCCGCGUGAGGGACGACGGCCUUCGGGUUGUAAACCUCUUUUAGUAGGGAAGAAGCGAAAGUGACGGUACCUGCAGAAAAAGCACCGGCUAACUACGUGCCAGCAGCCGCGGUAAUACGUAGGGUGCAAGCGUUAUCCGGAAUUAUUGGGCGUAAAGAGCUCGUAGGCGGUUUGUCGCGUCUGCUGUGAAAACUGGGGGCGCAACCCCCAGCCUGCAGUGGGUACGGGCAGACUAGAGUGCGGUAGGGGAGAUUGGAAUUCCUGGUGUAGCGGUGGAAUGCGCAGAUAUCAGGAGGAACACCGAUGGCGAAGGCAGAUCUCUGGGCGGUAACUGACGCUGAGGAGCGAAAGCAUGGGGAGCGAAC
rnacentral:rRNA from 1 species